GCCGUGGCCGUGACUUUCGGGGAGCGGGUGCUGGGCCCCCUGGCCUGGGUGAUGCCCCUGGCCGUGGCUCUCUCCACCUUCGGCGGCGUCAACGGCUCCCUCUUCACCUGCUCCAGGCUGUUCUACGCGGGCGCCAGGGAGGGGCAGCUGCCGGCGCUGCUGGCCAUGAUCCACCUGCGGCGCCACACGCCCGUGCCCGCCCUGCUCGUCACCGUGAGAGCCCGAAAUGGGGGCAAAAAACGCGAUUUUGGGAAAAAAC